AUGGCGUCCGGGAAGCACUUCAAGUACGUCGUCCUCGGCGGCGGGGUCUCCGGGGGGUACGCGGCGCGGGAGUUCGCCAAGCAGGGCGUGCAGCCGGGGGAGCUCGCCAUCAUCUCCAAGGAGGCCGUGGCUCCUUACGAGCGCCCUGCCCUCAGCAAGGCAUACCUGUUCCCCCAGAAUCCUGCAAGAUUGCCAGGAUUCCAUGUGUGCGUGGGAAGUGGAGGCGAGAGGCUCCUGCCUGAAUGGUACUCAGAGAAAGGCAUCGAGCUUAUCCUGAGCACUGAAAUUGUCAAAGCUGAUCUUGCUUCCAAGACUCUGACUAGUGAAGCUGGAGCAACCUUUACAUAUGAGAUCUUGCUAAUUGCUACUGGCUCCUCAGUCAUUAAGCUCUCUGAUUUUGGCACUCAAGGAGCUGAUUCUAACAACAUUCUGUACCUAAGGGAAGUUGACGAUGCGGACCAGCUGUAUGCAGCUAUCCAAGCAAAGAAGGGUGGGAAGGCAGUGGUUGUUGGAGGAGGUUACAUUGGCCUUGAACUAAGCGCAGUAUUGAAGAUGAACGAUCUUGAUGUGACUAUGGUGUUCCCUGAACCUUGGUGCAUGCCUCGUCUCUUCACUGCCGAGAUUGCGGCUUUCUACGAGAGUUACUAUACUAACAAAGGAGUCAAGAUCUUGAAGGGUACAAUUGCUGUUGGUUUUGAUGCUGACGCCAAUGGUGAUGUGACCGCAGUUAAGCUAAAGGACGGCAGUGUGCUCGACGCUGAUAUUGUUGUCGUCGGUGUUGGGGGCAGACCGUUGACUAAUCUCUUCAAAGGCCAAGUUGCCGAGGAGAAAGGUGGAAUCAAGACCGAUGCUUUUUUCGAAACAAGUGUCCCUGGAGUGUAUGCCGUUGGCGACGUGGCGACCUUCCCGAUGAAGAUCUACAACGACGAGAGGAGAGUGGAGCACGUUGACCAUUCCAGGAAGUCCGCGGAGCAGGCCGUGAAGGCGAUCAAGGGGAAAGAGGCGGGCUCUGCCGUGGAGGAGUACGACUACCUGCCCUACUUCUACUCGCGGUCGUUCGACCUGUCGUGGCAGUUCUACGGGGACAACGUCGGCGACGCCAUCCUGUUCGGCGACGCCGACCCCAGCUCCACCAAGCCCAAGUUCGGGUCGUACUGGGUCAAGGACGGCAAGUGUGUGGGCGCGUUCCUGGAGGGCGGGUCGCCGGACGAGAACGCCGCCAUCGCCAAGCUCGCGAGGGCCCAGCCGCCCGCCGCCAGCCCCGACGAGCUCAAGGCCGCCGGCCUCCAGUUCGCCAGCAAGAUCUGA
rnacentral:rRNA from 1 species